rnacentral:misc_RNA from 1 species
GCAAACUUGGUCAUUUAGAGGAAGUAAAAGUCGUAACAAGGUUUCCGUAGGUGAACCUGCGGAAGGAUCAUUAACAGAGAAUCGAAAAGCCUCUGCGUCCUGUUACCAGGCCAGAGACGCCUUUCUCAAACCCGCUUGUGAACCAGUAGCUUUUUCGAGCAGCCUUGCUUUGGCAGCAGGCCCAGACCCCUCCGCCCUCCCGAAGGGAGGGCGGAGGAUUUGGACCAUAAGCCUGCCGGCAGUGGCAACCUUUAUUAAAUACUGUUUUUUUACUAUAAUUCUGGUCUGAUAUGACUUAUUUUAUUUGGUGAAUGCCAGUUAAAACUUUCAACAACGGAUCUCUUGGUUCCCGCAUCGAUGAAGAACGCAGC